AACGAACGCUGGCGGCAGGCUUAACACAUGCAAGUCGAACGCCCCGCAAGGGGAGUGGCAGACGGGUGAGUAACGCGUGGGAAUCUACCCAGUUCUACGGAACAACUGAGGGAAACUUCAGCUAAUACCGUAUACGCCCUACGAGGGAAAGACUUAUCGGAAUUGGAUGAGCCCGCGUUGGAUUAGCUAGUUGGUGAGGUAACGGCUCACCAAGGCGACGAUCCAUAGCUGGUCUGAGAGGAUGAUCAGCCACACUGGGACUGAGACACGGCCCAGACUCCUACGGGAGGCAGCAGUGGGGAAUAUUGGACAAUGGGCGCAAGCCUGAUCCAGCCAUGCCGCGUGAGUGAUGAAGGCCUUAGGGUUGUAAAGCUCUUUCAGUGGGGACGAUAAUGACGGUACCCACAGAAGAAGCCCCGGCUAACUUCGUGCCAGCCGCCGCCGUAACAC
rnacentral:rRNA from 1 species